AGUGCAACUUUAAGGUUACAUUUUUUUGUGAGAUAAAUAUAUAACCUUGUAUGAAAGUACCAUAUGAAAAUUAAAUGCGAAAGCAAAAAAACAUUUACAAAACUCUAAGCGCAUAAAUUUAAUAAAAAAGCUGAAAUUUUCUAAGACCGCUCUCAAAAUCCCUGUUUUUUUCAACAACGCGUCAUAUUACGUAGUCAGAGGCGCUGGUCUGACAGGCUUUACAUUGGCAGUGCUGCGGUUGUAUUCAGCAAAAGCAGUCGCAAAUUGAUGUGAUUCUCCGUAGUUUCAAUUUAGCAUCGUCAUGGUUAAUAAUUGUGUUAGUGGGGGUUUUUCAAACUCCAGCCUGUCAGGACAAUGAGUCCACAGGUUUCUUUUGAAGAAUAAAGACCGCGCUAUCUUCCGUGUCUGGGUGUGUUUAACGCAGCACGAGGAAAGAGGCGAGAGACGCGACUUCAGUUCAGCAUGUGCUUCAGAAAAACGCGGUGGUGUAACUUAUAGCGUUCACGUUAGAUCGGAGGAUUAUCAUCCCGGCAAUAUGAUGGAGUUAAACAUUGGAUGCCGAAGCAAGAACCACGUGAGGCCUGUGUUUUUGCCGCCGCGAGAAAACAUGAAUCGAUCACGGUCCGUCUGAGAUGCAGCUCGAAGAUAACGUGAACUAUGCACAUUGUCCAGCUACAGAUGAAGAUGCUUAGUAUGAUGAAUCAUCCUCUGUUGUAAUGGACGAACCUGGCGAUGUGUUAUGGAGGAGGAAAAAACAAAAAAGACUCAUCUGAUGAGAAACCACUGCAAGAAUCUCAUCCUGUUCACACAAGUCUGUGCAGCAUGCAUGUAUCAGCAUUUUUGGUGACCAGUGACUUCUCUUCUGAGGGACGUGAAUUCCAAAUGUGUGUUUGUUGUGACGUGUGUGUGAACCAUGUGCAUCAUGCCUCUUGUCACAAUACGUGCCUGCUGCACACGCAUUGAAAAGGUUUAUGAUAAAAGAAGCACUCAUGUUCACAAAAUACUCGCAAGACACUAACUUGACACUAAACUGUAAUUACACAGGAGAUUAAGUGAGUAUCAGGCAAACGUGAGCAUAUCAUUUAUCAUAAACCCUUUACAUGCGUGUGCAGCAGAUUUUGACAUCACGUGUGAUGCACAUAAGUUUACAUGACGUGCUGAAAGCAUAUUUUGAAAUGACGAGCCACACACAUGACGAGCUCAAUGCAUGUGACCAGCUUCGCAACGUGCGCCCUCGAAAAAGAAGUCACCGGCCGACACUGACCCAGAUCAUCAAGAUGUUAAAGCUGUUUGGGCUUCAGAGCAUCUUGUCAGCACCUUCUUCCACCAUGUACACAAUUUCUACCAUCGUGAAGGCGUGGCAGAAUGAGAGAUUUGCAGUCACCACAGGCUCUACGAGAAUGCAGCACUGUCCUGUCUUCCACUACACCUGCUCCCCUCUCCAGAUCCAUCCAGAGGAUCAACAAGGAUGAAGCUGUUGGGAUCUAUUAAUCACAUCAUUCACAAUUUAACACACUUCAACACAUUAUUAUAAUACCCUGCACAUAUGAUGGGAAAGAUACUGAAAAAUUGUUAAAUGUUUUUAAAUGGGUCAGAUUGUAUAUCUUUUUUCGGUGCUACAUAAAUAAAACUAAAUCGAAUUACAAAUGCAGAUCUACUUGGUAUAUAUCUGAUCUAAACUUCAUAAACCAGUUUUUAUACGGUAAGACAAUUUGUGAUUAUUGUUUAUUGAUUGUCACAACAUGGGGGUAUUCAAACCAUUUAUAAAGUCCUCCUUCCUCUGGAACCUGUUCUUGAAUGGCUGACACAUGCAGGUAAGGGCGCCUGCACAGAGUUCCUUAGACGCCCAGCGGAUAACUUGCCUAUGCUGUAUUUAGUGGUAUUGUCUGGAGAUGGGAAAACUAUUAAUAUUGUUAAUUUGAAUAUUGACUAGUGCCAGCAAAAAUUGUGACUUAGUCAUGACCUAUAGGCAACUUGUAAUUAAAACAAAUUCAUUAAGAUUGUUUAAAAACAAAUUUAUUAAGAUUGUUUUAACAUUCAAAUCUUUAGUUUACUGUUCAUUUAUACAUGGAUAUUAAAUAAAUUAGUAAUAAAUAAUCUCUGCCAUAAACAUACUCAUUUCUACUGGCCUGGCCUGUAGCACAUAUGGGUUCAGACAGCUCACCUCUCCUGCGGUGAUGAGCAACAUCUGUAUCACCUAACGUAAGUGUGGAUGGAUAUUAACAUAACUUAUAAGCAUUAAAAAGACAUAAAGUAUCAAUACUAUCUUUGCUAUUGCAUGAUAUAUGAUAAUCUGUACAAUCUUGUGAUCUGGGCACAGUAUUACAUCUCGCCAGAUCACUAAUCUCACCCACACAUCUGUCCUUUUCUCCUCACAUAACACUUCAAUUUGUCUCCUCGUACCGUUCUGUUUAAUCCUGACCAGUCCCUGCACUCUUGGCUGCAUAGCAAACUCAUAAUUGUAUGGCUGUAGUUCGCCAUACGAGUAUGAAUAAACAUUUACUCGUUCCUCAGCGUCCGAAGAACUGUCAUUGCGAUCCAGCGUGCGCCUCUCGUGAUGUCACUUCCGGUUUGGCGGUUUUUAGAGGCGGGUCUAAAAUUUUCUUACAAAACUGACCCCAGAAGCCUAAUUAGUGCAUUUAGAAAAAUAUAUAUUUUUUAAUCUAUUUCCUACAAUAUUUUUCUGUACUUUGAGUGAAUGGGUGGUUUAACUUUCAAGUUGCU